GGAGCCUGAUCUCCAGGUCAUAGGGUCGAUGAGGAGGUAGCCUGGUAGUGGGUUCUUUAGCGAAGACCUGAGCGAGGUCGUGGUAUUGAGGAGGGACGAGCGUCAGGUCUACGUCUUUGGGAGGAGCUGCUCCAGUCCGAGGUGUAGGGGAGCCCCGGUGGUUCUGGCAACCCAUGCCCUAGGCAAGGACCUUACUGGUGGACCAGGAGAUGUGAGGCUCAUGACGGCAGAACCAGGAGUGACCCAGGAUGAGUGGUGUAGCCGGAGCCUGGAUGACCAGGAAGUGGAGGUUCUCCAGGUGUUGGUCAAUAGUCACGUGGAGACCGUUUCCCGGUCUUUUUGGGCACGUGCCACAGUGGUGACCCAAAUCCCCACAGUAAGCGCAUCGUUCCUCCUGAUAGCGCCGUGCCCAUUCCUCAGGGGGGAGAUGUCCGAGCUGCAUCGGCUCCUCCGUCGGUUGGUGAGCCGGACGACGGGGUGACGUUCUGGUGUGGAUGGGAGCUGACGUGGUGCUCGGCCUGUUCAGGAUGCAGCUGUCCAGCUGGAGAGCCAGAUCCACUGCCAGGUCCAGGGAGGUGGGGGAUUCGUGUCCGAUCAUGCCCUCUCGGAUUCUAGGUGACAACCCCUCCAGGUAAACGGCCUUUAGGGCGUCGUCAUCCCACCUCAACCGAGCGGCUGUCAUCCGGAAGCAAGAGGUGUACUGAGCCGCCGUCUGGGAGCCUGUUACGGCUGUUGCUGUUUGCCUCAGAAAUCUGACACUGCAGAGGACAAUCAGUGCUGCCUCCACCUCCUACCUGCACAGCUGCACUCACUUGGGCUGAUCACCUCCUGAGCAGCAUAAAAGGGAGAGCUGCCAGGAGGAAGGGAGAGACUGGAUCUGUGCCAGUUCUCUCAUGUGCUCCAUUUGUUUGUGUUUUCAUGGCUUUUAAAUGGGUUUUUAGUUCUUUAAGCUUAGUGAAGCUUAAGAGCUUUUAGAGGUUUUUAACAGACGAGGGACCAGAGUGCUGGUUACCUCUUGGCUCCCAAACUUGUGUUUAAGUCAGUGGACUUUGUUUUGUGAAUCUUUGGGAGCAUUCGAUGUCUGUUUUAAACGUAAACCCUUGGCCAUUUUAACAAUGUGUUUAAGUACUUUUAGAUUUGGAGCUUUUUGUCAUUUUAAAAUCCUUUUAAUAAAUCAAUGUUUACAAUUUCCACAACUGAAGCACAUGCCUCUGUGUUACUCCCCGUCCUUCUCCAUAUCCACCAAUAGAGGACGUAACACAAUGGGGGCUCGUCCGGGAUUCUCAACCACCCCAUGAAGGACUUUUAAUGGCAUGUGCUUUUUGCAAACAGGUUUUAUUCAUAGGGUUUUAAGAUGUGUGGUCAGCUGUGUCCUCUCAGGUAUUGUGAGUAUGCCCUUUUUGUUUUAUUCUGUUGUGCUUGUUAAAUUUUAAAGUGAACAGAGUGAAUUCCCUAUAGGCUGUAGGAGCGCACCCUCUUUAGGAUGCGUUCUGGUUUUUGUUUUUCUAGAGUUGGGAUUAUGGAGGUUAGUGUUGGUGAUUCAGUUCACCAUCUCGGGAGCACCCCAGGAAGGGCUGUGGCUAACCCCCUCCCUUUGCUGGUUUGAAUGUGCCUCGGCACAUGUGCUUAAUCAGCCCAUCUCUACGCCCCAUGAAGACUAGGGUGGAGAUCAGCUAGGACUCCUUCCAUUAGCUAGAGGGAAUUCUUGUUGGACAAAAGACCUGGGAGUGUUUGUGAUAAAAGCCAUGGAGGACAAAGGUGAAAGAAAAAAAAUUGUGGUUGAACGUGUUUUGUUUUUUUUCUUUCUUUUAAGGGAGCAUUCGAUGUCUGUUUUAAAACGUAAACCCUUGGCCAUUUUAACAAUGUGUUUAAGUACUUUUAGAUUUGGAGCUUUUUGUCAUUUUAAAGUCCUUUUAAUAAAUCAAUGUUUACAAUUUCCACAACUGAAGCACAUGCCUCUGUGUUACUCCCCGUCCUUCUCCAUAUCCACCAAUAGAGGAUGUAACACAAUGGGGGCUCGUCCGGGAUUCUCAACCAUCCCAUGAAGGACUUUUAAUGGCAUUUGCUUUUUGCAAACAGGUUUUAUUCAUAGGGUUUCAAGAUGUGUGGUCAGCUGUGUCCUCUCAGGUAUUGUGAGUAUGCCCUUUUUGUUUUAUUCUGUUGUGCUUGUUAAAUUUUAAAGUGAACAGAGUGAAUUCCCUAUAGGCUGUAGGAGCGCACCCUCUUAGGAUGCGUUCUGGUUUUUGUUUUUCUAGAGUUGGGGUUAUGGAGGUUAGUGUUGGUGAUUCAGUUCACCAUCUCGGGAGCACCCCAGGAAGGGCUGUGGCUAACCCCCUCCCUUUGCUGGUUUGAAUGUGCCUCGGCACAUGUGCUUAAUCAGCCCAUCUCUACGCCCCAUGAAGACUAAGGUGGAGAUCAGCUAGAACUCCUUCCAUUAGCUAGAGGGAAUUCUUGUUGGACAAAAGACCUGGGAGUGUUUGUGAUAAAAGCCAUGGAGGACAAAGGUGAAAGAAAAAAAAUUGUGGUUGAACGUGUUUUAAUUUUUUUUUCUUUCUUUUAAGGGAGGAAGUGUUACGGCUGUUGCUGUUUGCCUCAGAAAGCUGACACUGCAGAGGACAAUCAGUGCUGCCUCCACCUCCUACCUGCACAGCUGCAUUCACUUGGGCUGAUCACCUCCUGAGCAGCAUAAAAGGGAGAGCUGCCAGGAGGAAGGGAGCGACUGGAUCUGUGCCAGUUCUCUCAUGUGCUCCAUUUGUUUGUGUUUUAAUGGCUUUUAAAUGGGUUUUUAGUUCUUUAAGCUUAGUGAAGCUUAAGAGCCUUUAAAGGUUUUUAUCAGACGAGGGACCAGAGUGCUGGUUACCUCGUGGCUCCCAAACUUGUGUUUAAGUCAGUGGACUUUGUUUUGUGAAUCUUUGGGAGCAUUCGAUGUCUGUUUUAAACUUAAACCCUUGGCCAUUUUAACAAUGUGUUUAAGUACUUUUAGAUUUGGAGCUUUUUGUCAUUUUAAAAUCUUUUUAAUAAAUCAAUGUUUACAAUUUCCACAACUGAAGCACAUGCCUCUGUGUUACUCCCCGUCCUUCUCCAUAUCCACCAAUAGAGGACGUAACACAAGAUUCUCCGAAGAGACACGGAGCUGGUUCAUUUCUGCCGUAUGCUGAUCGAUAGCUGCGCGCAGUUGAACCACUUCAACAGGCAGACGAGCGAACUCCGCUGGGUCAACUUUAGACUCUGUCAUCCUGUCAGGUUUGGUGGCAGAGCUGAAGCAUGGCUGAGAAGGUCUGUUGCCCAGACGCGGAGUGGUGGAGAUAAAUAGCGGGGUCUAGCUCCUUUAGGUUCGGUUUGAAGGCUGGUAAGCCUGAGAACUCGAUUCAAAGUCAGGUGAGAACGAUGACAGAGUAAUGAAUGAAACGCCGGCACUUCCUUAUAUAGUGUCGGCGUGAUGACGUCGGCGGCCACGUUGGUGGCGGGAAUGUUGGGAAAUGGUGGUGAGAAUGCUGGAAAAUGGAGUCAGCUGGAGGAGUUUGUGACAAUUUCAGUCAUUUUGAUACUUGACUUGUGAAAGCUGAUUUGAAGUUUGUUAUUUUUUCUAGACAUAUUUAGAAGGAAAUUUCAAAUAUAUUACUAUCAAUAUGGAACUAUUUGGAUUUUAGUAGCUGGAUUUCCUACCCCCUUGACGGAACAUUAGCAUGGAUAGGCUGGCAUUAACAUCGGAGAGGCUAGCCAUUAGCAUGUCUCGGAGAGUCACUAGUCAGCUAGUGGCCAACCUAGGUACGCUAAUGGCUAGCCUCUCCAAUGCUAAUGCCAGCCUAUCCAUGCUAAUGGUCCAUCAAGUGGGUAGGAAAUCCAGCUAGUGGCCAGCCUAGGCACGCUAAUGGUUAGCCUCUCCAAUGCUAACACCAGCCCGUCCAGGCUAACGCUAACCUAUCCAUGCUAAUAGACAGCAGAGGGAGUGUUUGAACCAGUCAAUGACCAGCCGAGGGCUGCUAGUCCCUAGCAUAUGUAGUAGUAACACCGGUAAAGGUGCUAUUCCUCAGUAAGCAGCGCAAGCCUCUCAGUUACCGGUGCCAGCUUAUCAUUAAUCAGGUCGGUAGUUUGCUAUAUAGCCUUCUGCUGCUGGGCAGUAGUCUUAAUUUCGGCCCCCAUACCGCACCAUACACAGACUGGCUCACGCUGGUGAGGAGACACCAUUAGUUCUAGUAACACCUGGGCUCCCAAGGCCUAUUCUGACAGGAUGGACGUUACGGGACCCUCAAGGAUUCCAGUUGGAUGAUUGGAGGAUUAUUUAGGAGGAUUGGAAUGAACAAACUGAUUUCAGUGGUGAUCGGCUAAAUGAGUGAGUGAACCCACUACCAAGGAUGAACUCUGCUAACUUUAAAAAUCAGCUGCUCUAAAUAAGCAUGAAGGUCAGAGAGGAGGUCUAGGAUGGACAUGGAUAAAGGAACUGUAAUGUAGAGGUAAAGUAGGGCAGGCCCAACAUUAGCAGCUGUCAUACGGUCCAUCUGAAAUGUUAGACUUUCAUUUAGCUUGUUAUGUGACAGGUUAGAGCACAGUCUCAUGUUAGAGUUUUGUCAUGAAAACAUUGAGAUAUCUCACAUCCUGAUGGCAUCUAAAAAAAUUAUUUUUUCUCAAAAUAAAGAAUAAUUUUGAUCACAAUUGAAACUUACCAUCCCAGAAAAACCUCGUCCAAUCAAUGUGCAUGUCCUGUUCUCACUGAAUGGAUAGAAAUCCCUCCUUCAAGCCUUGCGUGUUUGAGUGUGUGUGCGCGCGCGCACACACAUGAGCGAAUUGUGAACUGGCGUUGUAAUUUAGCACUACUUAGAUGUAGCCAUCCUUACGCUGACAAAAUGUAACUAAGUAACUUUUACUUUUGAGUACAUUUUGUUUACGAUACUUUUUACUUUUACUUGAGUAAAAAUUUAGGCAAGUACUUUUACUUGUAAUUGAGUAAAAAAUUAUCAAAGUAUUGGUACUCGUAAUUAAGUAGGAAAUUUUAGUACUCUUUCCACCUCUGCUUAUAAGGACGUACAAAUUGUAUGUAGAGAGCUUUUUUUUUCAUGUCCCCCCAAAAAUUACUCUGAAGUUUUACUGUUUAUUGUCCCCCCCAAAAUUGAAAUGGGAUUUCCGCCCUUGCACCCAACAAUCACAGAUCUGCAUGUGCCAUUAUUAUCAGGGCUAUCCUGAUCCAAUCCAAACAUUUCAGAUUCGGGUCCCAAAUGUGGCAUUCCUAUUUCUGAUUGACAUCAGAGUUGCUGGUCACAUUCUGCUCCUAAACUAAAGCUUCCUUGUGGAUUCAGUUUAAUCACUUAGAUACUUGCUGUUUAAUGACGCAAACGUAUGAUUUAAAAGGCUGCUACAUGUCAUUUGCGUUGAUUUGAAACACAUCCCCCGAAAUUACUUCGAGGCGUCCCAACUCUGUAAUAUAUGAAUAACCAGUAGGUGAAUUUAACAAAACGAGUGAGACACGCUCACCUUGGUGACUGUCCCUAGUUUAGAUGUCUUUCAUACCAUCUAUGCUACAGCUACUGUCUUUUUUUUCUGUUGUUAUCUCAAAAUUAACCAGUUAGUAAGCUAUUUUAUUGACACCAUGUUUGUUUUGGUUGUACUCACAAACCCGGCUCUCUUUCCAGUCUUGAGUUCUCUAGUCCACCCCUAGUGGAACACUCCAGUACUACAAGCAGUGCAGUGCUGUGCCAUGUAGAGGCAAGUAGGUGAACAAAGACGCAGCCUGCUGCCUGCGCCAUCGUGAGGUCAAACAGCAAGUAUAUCUUGGCCCUUAUUAUCCUGGAUUUAUAAAGCUCAAAUGUUUUACUACCUUGUAAAGAUGUAUCAACGGUCUUGGGCCUUCUUAUCUAUCAGAACUGCUUUUACAAUAUGAACCCUCGCGGACUCUGCGCUCCUCUGGCAGGCGUCUCCUGGUCAUCCCUAAAGUCAGGACACAAACUCACGGCGAGGCGUCCUUCCAGUGUUAUGGCCCUCGCCUCUGGAACGAGCUGCCAGAGGACCUCAGGGCCUCAGAGAACGUUCAUGUUUUUAAGUCAAGACUCAAGACCCAUCUUUUUAGGUUAGCUUUUAUCUAAAUAUUUACUACAGUUUUAUUUCUCGUUUUACAUGAUUAUAUUUCAUUACUUGCUUUGCAUAUUCUAUAUGAUUAUAUUUUAGCACAGUUUUAUUAUUUAAAUUAUUAUUUUACUGUCUAUAUGAUUUUAUUUAUUACUUAUUUUCUAAUUGUUGUCAUUUAUAUUAGCUCUUUUAUUACAUUUUUACUCAUUUUAAUCCAGUGUUUCCUCUGUGGGGGCCCUCUGCCCCGAGAGCGGUGGUCGACUGUAGCUUCCUGGGCGCUCUAUAGGUGGGGGUCUAUGCUCCCCCUCCACUGAGCGCCCUGAGUUAGUGUGGAAGACCUGAUGCUGCCGGGACAGACGGCUCCUCUGAUGGCGUUUCCUUGCGUUACCAUACUUGGCUCAUCUGGACUCAGCCUAAUAUAAUUUUUACUCGUGUGUGUGUGUGAGUCUGUGUGUGUGUGCGUGUGAUUCAUAGACUGUAAAUACUGGACAAACGGAUUCCAUUGGCUUCAAUAACACGUUUGUUGUCUAUAAUGGGAGGUGGCCACCACCGCCAUUUUGACCGUGUCACAGGUUACGUCCAGCCCAGACAACUCCAUAAAAGGGAAGAGAGGAGGCGCUGAGGGUGUGGCUGUAAGGCUGGGCUCGAGUGACGACACCCAGGCGAACUAGCUACGAGCUAACCUGAAGCUAACCCUGGCUAACCCAAAGCUAAAGCGGAGGUGGGAGCCGAGCUAACGGAUGUAGCCACCUAGCUUCAACCCAACCGGAGCUAACUGGAACACCCAUCGACCUGAACCUCACACGGAGUUUAGGUGGAGGUUUUCUGCGCCUGUUCGUGAGAAGUACCUGUAUUAAAAAAGUUUUAAAUCGAUCUAUUAAAAGGUCACCAUGGCAGCCUGUGUGUCAACGUCAGCUACACAAAGCAGCAAGUGUAAGUACCAAGUACUUGUCUUGACCACUUCAUGAAUGGUUUUGUACUUUAAACAGCUAGGCCAAACCUGUUAUUUUUUCCUCCAUAGCCAUUUGGAUCAUUGGAGACAGCUGAGUGAGGCGUGGUGCCCAGAGAGCUGCAGAGACAACCUUGGCCUCCCUGACGUCUGUGUCUCUUGGUUUGGUUGGGGCGGACCAUCGACAUACAUACAUGUGCCGACACUUUGCGCCCUGUUUUAUAAACUGUAGUGUUAAAAAUAAAUGUUUUUGCUCAA